CAACAACCAGCUCAAAACUCAUUUCUUUGCAUGAAUGCACCAUGUGGCUACCUCGUUUGGACUUCUGUAGGAACAUGGCAGAUCGAGCAUGUGUGCUUGAGAGAGACAGAGACAGAAAAAAUCAAGUCCUUCUGUGGAACACUUGGUUGACCCAAUGAUCAACCAAAACACUUGGUUUUCCUAACAAGUGUGUUCUUCCUACCUACAAAAGAGAUUUAACUUUAAAACAGCCUCAAGCAGGUCCUUUAGGAGGUAUUCCUAAAGAAGGCAUUACUAUCAUAGGAGAUUGCCCCUGAAGACCUUCCAGUGGGACAAGCUGUGGAAAUGGAAGACAUUGAUAUUGCUGAUUGUAACCCUAUGUAGGCCUAGACUACUAUGUGCGUUUUUGUCUUUAUUGUUAAUAAAAAAAUUUGAAAAGUAAAAAACA
rnacentral:lncRNA from 13 species